GAAUGGCAGGCAAAGGAAGCGGUGUGAUCAGUGAAGAAAAGCGAGCGAGCUCCAAAUCCAUUGAUUUGAUGAUGGACACCCUGAACAUUAUCAAGUGGUGCAGACAGAUGAAACUUCAGAGCGUGUACUGCAAAUAAAUCAUCAGCGAUUUCGACGACUACAUCAACACUUUUUUAAACGAUGGAUCCGGAUCAUGACAUGCAAACUGCCAUAGCUUGAUGGACGCCGUUGAAGAUACACGAGUUCAUGAGGGCGCUAUACACCUUUUGGACGGGAUUAUUCUUACUAUGCUACAAUCUCAAAUGGAAUUUAGUGAAUAUCGAACAGUGCUGUCAGAUAGGUGGCGUCUGUUUUGCAGUUAUACACGGUAUUGGUAGGGAGGAAUUUUUGUCAAAUGGACAAAGGGUUAGCAACAGCGAUGUGAGUUUCUUAUACCAAUAAGUCCUCCAAGUUAAUAACCGUUAUAUUUCCACGAAUUUCAUUUAAGAUUGUAUCAGUAUUUCAACCAGAAAAAAAUACAUACCUUAAGAGUUUUGUUGAUCUAGUCUCCAUUACACUUUUAGUGGAGUAUUUAUAAUUGUAUGGCUAUGGGUGGGUAUAAUUGUUGACAAACCAUUGGGAAAUCAUUUAUAUACAGCUGGUGCUUACGCUGCAUUUUGCACCGACUGAAACGUUGCUACUGGAAUACGGAAAGUACAUUAAGUUGAACACAAACUCUCCCAAGCAAAGAUAAACGGUGAAGUAGAAAUUCUCAAUGAACGUCGUUUCUGUUUUAUGAUAAUUUAUUUUACUGCUUUAUGUCUACACAUGCGCACAUAAACCUGUACCUCACCCACGAUCUCCAGUAAUGUCCACAACAUGCACGAUGCAUUUGUUCAAUGUCCGUUAUAUAUUGAUUAUAGCAUAUCUGCUCGAUAAUUAUUGAAAUUUGUACUGCUAACAUUCCACGACAUGUCACGACUCUCAGCGGUAGAUGUAAGCCCCUUUUAUUGACAUGUCAAAGCAUUUUUUUCCUAUCUGGAAGCCAGUUGAAGAUAUACUUGUAAAUACUGACGAAGUUGUUUAUUUCAAUAUUAUUUGUGCUGGCACAUUAUUGUAGAUAAAACAACGAAACGAGACUCGCAAUGGGAGAUUUGGUUUGACUUUCUUUCCCUUCUCCGUAAACCUUUAGUGUACAAAGUCUUGUCUUUGCACCCCAAAAUAUUCAAGUAAACAGUAUAUGUUGGUCUUAAUGUCGUUGUUGUGAUAGAUAAGAAAAGUUAAUCACAUGAUUAUUCUAGUGGUUAAGAAGCAGGUGUAGCAUUUAUUUUUUUGGUCUGAAAACAGGAAGGGUUGUAGUGCGUGACCGGAAGCAAACCAUAAUUAUUGAAGGGGUUACGAUAAUACGUGAAUUCUGUUUUGGAGCCUCAGUGGGUUCACUCACACGUUCUAGAAAUCUUAGAUAAUCCUUCAUACAACUCAAACUAAAUAUUCACUGUGAGCUUCCUUGUUCUGUUCGAGGUUCAUUUCUUAAUUACUGAAUAGUCAGGCAGCAAGUGUAGCAAUACAGGUGCUAUAAAUUAAGUAUCCGCCAGUUGAAUACUUAUUGACUAAUGUAUUCUUCAUGAACGAGGUUUCACCAAAAAAAAACUGAAUUAUUUUUAGUUCGGAACAGAUGCUUGUAUCUUAUUCCCAAGAAAUCCCUGUAUGCUAAUUCACAAAAAUAUGUAAAUCGACAAUUAUACAAUGGACAAUGUGUUCAUUUGCAAUAUGUAUAGAAAAAUAUGUACAAGAUUUUAUGUAAAUUAAGUUCAUGUAAAUUAAGUUCAGGAUGACUAUUACACGUGCACGUGAAUGUUCUAGAGUCAGACCCUUUGGAAAAUAAACGUUAGUGAGCAAUUAGCAUUUUCAA
rnacentral:lncRNA from 1 species